rnacentral:rRNA from 1 species
UGUGUAGGCGGUUAUAUUAGUCGGGUGUUAAAUCCUGGGGCUCAACCUCAGGCUCGCAUCCGAAACGGUAUAACUAGAAGAAGUGAGAGGUAAACAGAACUCAUGGUGUAGGGGUGAAAUCCGUUGAUAUCAUGGGGAAUACCAAAUGCGAAGGCAGUUUACUGGCACUUUCUUGACGCUGAGGCACGAAAGCGUGGGUAGCGAACG